rnacentral:rRNA from 1 species
UACGUAGGUGGCAAGCGUUGUCCGGAAUUACUGGGUGUAAAGGGAGCGCAGGCGGGAGAUCAAGUCAGACGUGAAAACUAUGGGCUCAACCCAUAACGUGCGUUUGAAACUGUUCUUCUUGAGUGAAGUAGAGGUAGGCGGAAUUCCGAGUGUAGCGGUGAAAUGCGUAGAUAUUCGGAGGAACACCAGUGGCGAAGGCGGCCUACUGGGCUUUUACUGACGCUGAGGCUCGAAAGUGUGGGGAGCAAACAGG